GCCUGUUAGAUGCCCAAGUGUAAGUGCGGAUGCAAAGUGGAAGUGGACUUGUAGGGUGGAGGGAGGGCCGGAGCUGGGAGGCAAGGGGAGUUUGGAAUGCUGAUGGUACUUAAGGCCGUGAGUGAGUCAGGGUAAGCUCUCGCAGAGGGUAAGCAAGGAACCCAGCCCGGGACCACCACCUUUUACAGAGGUCUGGGAAGGAAGGGAGCAGCUGCCUUGGAGGAGGGGGAAGGGAAGCCAAGGAAGGACAGCAUUUAGAGCAAGAAGGAAGGACCAGCUUCAGCUUCGUGGAAUGCUGCUGGCAUCAGAUCGAGCUGAGAGUGGCGUGUGGGGAGCAAUCGAUGAGAGCUUGGAAAAGAAGUGAGCACACUGCCCAACAUUCAGCUCUGGAAAUGCGAGCCAGAGGCACUGGAACGCCCUGGAGCGGGGGUGGAAGGUGCGUUGUCUGGGCCAGUGGGGAUAACAGUGCCUUCAGAGUGUGAGAAAGAAGAGAACAGGAGCUGCAAGAACCAACAUAUUGAACCCUCCCCGACUGUCAGUUCUUGUCCAGGCACAAACGUAUUCCAGCCACACAGUCGUGUAGGGUGGCAUCCACUCAUCUUUCCCAGGGAAGAGAAGGGCAGCUUAAUGCCCUGUCCAGAAUAAUCAGAAUUAAAACAGAGAGUGUG
rnacentral:lncRNA from 1 species